rnacentral:tRNA from 1 species
GGGGCCGUAGCUCAGCUGGGAGAGCGCCGCCUUUGCAAGGCGGAUGUCAGGAGUUCGAGCCUCCUCGGCUCCA